GCCCCCGUGGCGCAACGGAUAGCGCAGCCGGCUUCUACCCGGUAGGUUGCAGGUUCGAAUCCUGUCGGGGGUACCA
rnacentral:tRNA from 2 species